AGGCACGUCAGAUAUUGGAAAAUGAAUUCAAAAACCUGCUGCUUCAAGGAACUGAUCGACGCCAUGAGGAGGACAACACCAAGAACUUCAGUCGGGCGCCCUCGUGGCGCAAGCGGUUUCGGGCAAAGGAGAUGCGAGACAUGACCUCGGACACAUCGGAAACGCUGCCGGCCAACUUCCGAGUGACUGCGGCCGCCAUUGCAUCGCAGAGCGUGCAGCUACGGAAGGUGCAGCCAGAUAGUAACCCCUCAGGGACUCCGCGAGCUGACACACCAUCAAUACGGACGUACUCGUGCUAGCAUCACUCAAUCUCGAGGGGAUUGUGAUGAGUCGCUGUCGUGCAGUUAAUUGUGGCUGGAAGAAUCGAAGAACCAGUUUUGAGAACUAUCACAGAACUGACCCGACUGUUAAAAGGGGCAAGAGAACCCCCCCCACCCCGCCACCACCGUCUCCCCUCGCCCCUAUCCCCAGUGUUGCUCCCGAGAAGAGUGGGCGAGAGGGUGGAGAGGUUGUUUCAUUCCUUCAGUGACACUGUUUUCAUUUUCUGUCACUCUGUGGGUCCCACAUCUGAGGUCAAUCACCCACCACCCCUCCCCCCAAACUCUACCGCCCCCCCCGCCCCCAAGACUGUUAGCGGGACUGACCCACAGUCCUGGCCCGAGGCCUGUGGGUGACUCAGGGGUAUACGGCAGGAGAAGCUAUGACACGACUUUAAGGUAUUAUCCUGUUUUGGGCCCUGGAUGUAAAUACACCGAUCAGCCCGCCCUGCCCUCCCACAGCCACAUUUCCUUCCCACCCCUCCUAUAAAGUGCUGGGAUUGUUUUUUUUCUCUUGUGCGUAAGAGUUCCUAAAACUGUUGCUGUACCGGGGAAAGUUGCCUUUGAGAGGUUUCUUCAUUUAUUUUAACAUCCAGUCGCUCGUCCCGGGCUUGCACUUUGGCUUCUGUGUCUCCUACCAGCACCCCCUCACCCCCACUGCCCCACUCAGCUUCAGCCUGUUCAUGCUGCACAGCACAGUGUCCUCUCUCCCAACCCUACACACACACACACACACACCGAUGCACGCACACGCCCAGACACACAGACACACACGCACAUAGACAUACACGUACACAGACAUACA